GGGUAAGUUUGGGGCCAGAGCAUCCGAUAAUGACAAUAAAUAUCGCGCUGGCGGCGGCUUUCGGCUCCCGUCUGUUUCCGCGUAUCACGGCGUUAGACUGGACGAUUCUGGCCUCAGCGGGCACCAUUCAUCCUCCAAGGCUAAAUACUCCUGACUGACCGAUAGUGAACCAGUACCGUGAGGGAAAGGCGAAAAGAACCCCGGCGAGGGGAGUGAAAAAGAACCUGAAACCGUGUACGUACAAGCAGUGGGAGC
rnacentral:rRNA from 1 species